rnacentral:rRNA from 1 species
CGCACGCAGGCGGUCUUGUAAGUUUGACGUGAAAGCUCCCGGCUUAACUGGGAGAGGUCGUUGAAUACUGCGAGACUUGAGUUUAGGAGAGGGGUGCAGAAUUCCCGGUGUAGUGGUGGAAUGCGUAGAUAUCGGGAGGAAUACCAGUGGCGAAAGCGGCACCCUAGCCUUUGACUGACGCUCAUGUGCGAAAGCGUGGGGAGCAAACGGGAUUAGAUACCCCGGUAGU